GCGCGGGUGAUGAAACUGGUAAACAUGCACGUUUGAGGGACGUGUGCCGUAAGGCUUGGGAGUUCAAGUCUCCCCCCGCGCACCA
rnacentral:tRNA from 1 species